UUGCAGAUUCAGUUACAUAUCAGCUGACACUGUGCUGGUUUGUCGUUCCCCCUGCAUAAAUAAACUUGUUUCCUACUAUCCCUGUCUGUUUGCAAUCCAACAACUUGCAGGGACGCUUGGUCUCUCACAU
ensembl:snoRNA SNORA63 Small nucleolar RNA SNORA63